UGGGGAAUAUUGCGCAAUGGGCGAAAGCCUGACGCAGCGACGCCGCGUGAGGGAUGAAGGUUUUCGGAUCGUAAACCUCUGUCAGAAGGGAAGAAACCGCACUGUGCUAAUCAGCAGUGCCUUGACGGUACCUUCAAAGGAAGCACCGGCUAACUCCGUGCCAGCAGCCGCGGUAAUACGGAGGGUGCAAGCGUUAAUCGGAAUUACUGGGCGUAAAGCGCACGUAGGCUGCUUUGUAAGUCAGGGGUGAAAUCCCACGGCUCAACCGUGGAACUGCCUUUGAUACUGCUUAGCUUGAGUCCGGGAGAGGGUGGCGGAAUUCCAGGUGUAGGAGUGAAAUCCGUAGAUAUCUGGAGGAACAUCAGUGGCGAAGGCGGCCACCUGGACCGGUAUUGACGCUGAGGUGCGAAAGCGUGGGGAGCAAACAGG
rnacentral:rRNA from 1 species